rnacentral:rRNA from 1 species
ACUCCUACGGGAGGCAGCAGUAGGGAAUCUUCCACAAUGGGCGCAAGCCUGAUGGAGCAACACCGCGUGAGUGAAGAAGGGUUUCGGCUCGUAAAGCUCUGUUGUUAAAGAAGAACACGUAUGAGAGUAACUGUUCAUACGUUGACGGUAUUUAACCAGAAAGUCACGGCUAACUACGUGCCAGCAGCCGCGGUAAUACGUAGGUGGCAAGCGUUAUCCGGAUUUAUUGGGCGUAAAGAGAGUGCAGGCGGUUUUCUAAGUCUGAUGUGAAAGCCUUCGGCUUAACCGGAGAAGUGCAUCGGAAACUGGAUAACUUGAGUGCAGAAGAGGGUAGUGGAACUCCAUGUGUAGCGGUGGAAUGCGUAGAUAUAUGGAAGAACACCAGUGGCGAAGGCGGCUACCUGGUCUGCAACUGACGCUGAGACUCGAAAGCAUGGGUAGCGAACAGGAUUAGAUACCCUGGUAGGAUAGGG